AUCCUUUCGGUUCAUAAAGCGUGAUGAUUGGGUGUUCAUGCCAUUGUGUGACAUGUGCUGCCCACUAAACCUUGUUAUGACAUGGGCACAUUACCUGACUGACG
ensembl:snoRNA LOC120098710 small nucleolar RNA U13